CUCCAGUUUGUUUUCUCUAGUUCAGUGUCCUAAAAUUCUAAAGUUUGUGUGCAUUUUCCUAAUCAUAGACCAAAUGUUUCUGUUUGCUUGAAAACUUUCUGCAUGUGUUCUCAUUUGUUCUACAUAGGGGCACACUUGGGGUGCUACCCACAGAGGGCAUGAGGCAUUUUGAGGGUUGAGCAUACUCAGAGCUAGUUGGGUGGGUUAUAGGUAAGGCACCCUGAGUGACUUAUAAGUGAGCUCCUGAUGGAGUCCUUAAAACAGAAGAAUCCAUGAGAUUCUAAACUGUGCUGUGAGUCCCCACCUCUCUUAAGUACUACCAUAUUUUUACAACUUCUCAGCUAAAUUGAUCUCCUUAUUUUUGGGGUAGGGUGAGAAAUAAAUGGGCCUAUAGUGAAGCACCAUGCCAGGGGAAGAUGGAAACUUAUUAUGCUCUCACUUUCUCCUGUGGAAAAAUUAUGGAUUGAGGGAAGACUCUGUUGGUACUCUGUGGGAGAGGGGUUACAUAAGUAACUGGAAAAUGUUCUCUCUUUUUUGUACUAAUUAAUUAUACUUUACAGUAGAAUGCAUUUUGACAUAUCAUACAUAAAUGGAAUAUAAUUUCUCAUUCUUAUGGUUGUACAUGAUACAGAAUCACAUCAGUUGUUAGUCAUAUACGUGCAUAUGGUAAUAAUGUCAGAUUAUUUAUACUAUCCUUCCUACCCUCAUACCCCUCCUCUCCCUUACUCCCCUCUACCUAAUCCAAAGUAACUCUAUUCUUCCCUAGCUCCCACCCCCUUUAUUGUGAAUUAGCAUCCACAUAUCAGAGAAAACAUUCAGCCUUUGUUUAUUUGGGAUUGGCUUAUUUUGCUUAGCAUGAUAGUCUCCAGCUGCAUCCAUUUACUGGCAAAUGCCAUAAUUUCAUUCAUCUUUAAGGCUGAGUAAUAUUCCAUUAUAUAUAUAUCACAUUUUCUUUAUACAUUCAUCUGUUGAAGGACUCCUAGGUUGGUUCCAUAGCUUAGCUAUUAUUAGUUGAGCUGCUAUAAACAUUAAUGUGGCUAUGUCGCUGUAGUAUCCUGAUUUUAAGUCCUUUGGGUGUAAACUGAGGAGUGGAAUAGCUGGGUCAAAUGUUGUUUCCAUUCCAAGUUUUCUAAGGAAUCUCCAUACACUUUCCACAAUGGUUGCAUUAAUUUGCAGUCCAACCAGCAAUGAAUGUAUGAGUGAAAAUUUUUCUUCACAUCCUCACCAACAUUUAUUGUUGCUUGUAUUCUCAGUGUAUCUAUUCUUGAGCUAAUUUUCCUACCAACGGUAUGCUGUAUUCUGAAUUCCUGAACUUCUACAAAGGUACUCUUGUCAUCAGUAAUUGUCAAAAUUGAUGCUUAGGGGAAUUGCUGGUAGAAAACCCCUAUUCUAGCAUUUUUCUGACAUCACCCCCAAAUCAUAUCAUUACAUAAGACCAUCAACAUAAAUCUAUCAUUGACAUUUUAAAUUAAAUAGGUGAUGAAAAUAUUAUGCAUAAAAUAUAUCUAGACUUUGUUUUACAUAUAUGUAUAUUUUUUAUUGGUGCUUUUUUAUUUUUUCCUGUGGAUUUGUGCUACUUUCCAG
rnacentral:lncRNA from 1 species